GAGGCAGCUAUCCAACUUUUUCUGGAAUGAGGGCAAGAAAAAUGGGGACACAAAGUGAAGUUAUUGGAUACCUUAUCUGGAACUGCCCAAAAUGUUGACUGAGAUCCAAAGAACACACAGUACCUUCUGGAUCAGGGAAAAGGAGCCAAAGGUUUAUAGCUUUGCUGGUCACAGUUUCAAUAACCAUGAUGGACGAUCCUCUGUUCUAUAUAUCAUGUACAAGUAUUCAGCUUAAAAGUAUCUUUGUGUUCACAGCUUGCUUUCUGUCACCUCUCCGAUCCCUCCUCCCCACCGCACAUGCACAUGGCGUUAUAUUAUAUGCGCGGAGAGCUUUGGGGAAAGCUCAUAUUUAGGAACAUUAAGUAAGCAGAGGAGGAUGGCUGCUUAUUUGGGCUGAGCCUGACCUCACUAUGAAAUGAGGCAAAUUGGCAUAUUUAUGACUCAGAGUAAGUCAAUAAUAUAUUGGCAUUCACAUGUGGA
rnacentral:lncRNA from 1 species